rnacentral:tRNA from 3 species
GUGGCUAUAGUGUAAUGGUUAACACAGAAGCUUGUGGAGCUUUUAAUGAGGGUUCAAUUCCCUCUAGCCACCCCA